GGACAGACAUCGACGUCUCAGUAAUAGGGUCCCGUUUCUACCCUUUACAUACGGAACCAUAUAAGUAAUGUACUUUCAAUAUACCUCCUUAUUUAUAAAAAUAUUUACUUAUUAUCAAGUAGCUUGUACAAUAUAUGAGAAAAAGACAGCAACAUGGACUGGCACACACUUGUGUAGUUAAUAUUUUCAUAAAUAUUUUUUAUUCGAUCAGACCCCUAAUUUUUCAUAUAAUAAUAUCAUAUUUUCAUUCCAAAAUCUUAAACAUCAACCAUCACCACUGUAAUAUACUUCUAAGUUCUAUGUAUGACAAUACAACCUCCAUAAUUUAAAAUAGUUCUAUUGUUAUAUAAUAAAAAUCUGUGAUUUACAACCUAAAACUUGAUUUGUAGUAAACUGAACAAUAUUUA